UGUAUAAUUCCUGGAUCACAUAGUAAGUCCAUUUUUAUUUUAAAAGAAACUGUCAAACUAUUCUCCAGAGUGACUGUACUAUUUUAGAUUCCCAUCAGGAAU
rnacentral:pre_miRNA from 1 species